rnacentral:rRNA from 1 species
UACGUAGGAGGCGAGCGUUGUCCGGAUUCACUGGGCGUAAAGGGCGCGUAGGCGGCGGCUUGAGUCCCUGCGUGAAAUCUCCCGGCUCAACCGGGAGGGUGCGCGGGAUACUGUCGGGCUAGAGUGCGGAAGAGGCGAGUGGAAUUCCCAGUGUAGAGGUGAAAUUCGUAGAUAUCAGGAGGAACACCGGUGGCGAAGGCGGCUUUCUGGACGACAACUGACGCUGAGACGCGAAAGCGUGGGGAGCAAACAGG